GUCGAGCGGAGAUGAGGUGCUUGCACCUUAUCUUAGCGGCGGACGGGUGAGUAAUGCUUAGGAAUCUGCCUAUUAGUGGGGGACAACAUUCCGAAAGGGAUGCUAAUACCGCAUACGUCCUACGGGAGAAAGCAGGGGACCUUCGGGCCUUGCGCUAUCAGAUGAGCCUAGGUCGGAUUAGCUAGUUGGUGAGGUAAUGGCUCACCAAGGCGACGAUCCGUAACUGGUCUGAGAGGAUGAUCAGUCACACUGGAACUGAGACACGGUCCAGACUCCUACGGGAGGCAGCAGUGGGGAAUAUUGGACAAUGGGCGAAAGCCUGAUCCAGCCAUGCCGCGUGUGUGAAGAAGGUCUUCGGAUUGUAAAGCACUUUAAGUUGGGAGGAAGGGCAGUAAAUUAAUACUUUGCUGUUUUGACGUUACCGACAGAAUAAGCACCGGCUAACUCUGUGCCAGCAGCCGCGGUAAU
rnacentral:rRNA from 1 species